GAAAUGCGAUACGUAAUGUGAAUUGCAAAUUCAGUGAAUCAUCGAGUCUUUGAACGCACAUUGCGCCCCCUGGUAUUCCGGGGGGCAUGCCUGUCCGAGCGUCAUUUCUGCCCUCAAGCACGGCUUGUGUGUUGGGCCCCGUCCUCCGAUCCCGGGGGACGGGCCCAAAAGGCAGCGGCGGCACCGCGUCCGGUCCUCGAGCGUAUGGGGCUUUGUCACCCGCUCUGUAGGCCCGGCCGGCGCUUGCCGAUCAACCCAAAUUUUUAUCCAGGUUGACCUCGGAUCAGGUAGGGAUACCCGCUGAACUUAAGC
rnacentral:misc_RNA from 1 species